UAAUACGUAGGGCGCAAGCGUUGUCCGGAAUUAUUGGGCGUAAAGAGCUCGUAGGCGGCUUGUCACGUCGGGUGUGAAAGCCCGGGGCUUAACCCCGGGUCUGCAUUCGAUACGGGCUAGCUAGAGUGUGGUAGGGGAGAUCGGAAUUCCUGGUGUAGCGGUGAAAUGCGCAGAUAUCAGGAGGAACACCGGUGGCGAAGGCGGAUCUCUGGGCCAUUACUGACGCUGAGGAGCGAAAGCGUGGGGAGCGAACAGGAUUAGAUACCCU
rnacentral:rRNA from 1 species